rnacentral:rRNA from 1 species
AACGAACGCUGGCGGCAGGCCUAAAACAUGCAAGUCGAACGAUCUAGCAAUAGAUAGUGGCGCACGGGUGAGUAACACGUGGGAAUAUCCUUUUCACUACGGAACAACGUCGGGAAACUGACGCUAAUACCGUAUAAUGUCUCCGGACCAAAGAUUUAUCGGUGAAAGAUUAGCCCGCGUCUGAUUAGCUAGUUGGUGAGGUAACGGCUCACCAAGGCAACGAUCAGUAGCUGGUCUGAGAGGAUGAUAAGCCACACUGGAACUGAGACACGGUCCAGACUCCUACGGGAGGCAGCAGUUAGGAAUAUUGGACAAUGGGGGCAACCCUGAUCCAGCCAUGCCGCGUGUGUGACGAAGGCCUUAGGGUUGUAAAGCACUUUCGUCUACGAAGAUAAUGACAGUAGUAGAAGAAGAAGCUCCGGCUAAAUUCGUGCCAGCCGCCGCAGUAA